UGCUAUUUUUAAAAAGAAAGUAGUUGUUCAGAUAUGAAUAUUAUAAAAAACUUUUCACGAUAUCAUAAUAAAAAAUUCAAAAUUACGCAAGUCAUCUAGUCAUAUACUAAUUAAUAAAGGGAGAUGGUUUCAUAUUCAUGCAUUUAGAAAUGUUACGGUUUUAGUUAAGGUAAAUGAGCUCAAAAUAAUAGAAUAACUGUUUGCUGUAAAAAAAAAAUGAGUUCGGAGUUUUAUCAGAAAUAUAAAAAAUAAAUUUGUACGGUAUAAUGUUUUAGCCUCAUAUAAUAUAUGUAUAUGAUACUUUGAAAUUUAAGUACAGGUUAUAUUGACAAAAAAAAAAAAGAGAAGAAUAUGAUAAUGACGUUUACUUGUUAAACUUUAACUUGGUUUUUUUAUUUAUCAACGCUUUAACAUGGUUUUCUACUUUCUACUUUUAGAUGAUUUUUAAUAAAUGGCGAUAUUAUUAUACACCAUAGAACAUGAGGGCGG
rnacentral:lncRNA from 1 species